GCUGCAUGUGCAUGCUUUACUUGUGGUUUGGCAGAAAACAGCGCGCGCGUCUACCAAAAGAUGCAUGUGCAUGCUUAACAAGUGGUUUGGCACAAAUCAAUGCGCGUGUGCCGAAAAGAGCAGCAUGGGCGUGCUUAGCACGUGGUUUGGGAGAAAUCCACGUGAGCGCUCUGCCAAAAGCAGCAUGUGCAUGCUUAGCUUGUGGUUUGGCAGAAAACAACGCGCGCGUCUACCAAAAGAUGCAUGUGCAUGCUUAACAAGUGGUUUGGCACAAAUCGAUGCGCGUGCGCUGAAAAGAGCA
rnacentral:lncRNA from 1 species